GUACUCACUUCGGGAGCACAUAUACUAAAAUUGGGACAAUACAGAUAAGAUUAAGCAUGGCUCCUACACAAGGAUAACAUGCAAAUGCAUGAAGUGUUCCAUAUUUUA
rnacentral:snRNA from 1 species